AUAAACACAAAGCCAAUUUGUAAUGCCAAGUCACUUUGUCCAGGUACUUUUAAACAUAUGUUUGCAAUUGCUAUCUCCUUUCUAAGUCCUGUUACUCAGAAACAUGUCUGCACUACUGUGAUCUUUUUCAAAAGUUCUCUUGUGUGUGGAGAAGCACAGAGAGGAGCUCAGAUAUCAUGCCUUCUAUGCAAGCUAUAUGAAUGUAUUGAGGUUUUGGAGCCCUCAUCUCACUGAGCGUGCAGCUCACAGAAGUGAUGUGACCUUGGUGCACGCCAAUCUUUGCUUCUCAGGAGAGAUACAGAUGCUGCAUCUAAGGAGGCCCUGGCUGGACAUAAAUUUCUAGAUCUCAAGCCCUAAUUCUCUGAUACGUGGAAGAGUAAAACUUGGGUCUUGCUCUGAGUGGACCUGGAAACACGCCAAAAGCAGGGUGUUGGAGGGGAGCCGUUCCUCCAAGGGGACUUUGAGAUCAACCCUUCAACAGGUAUGGACCCGGAACUGCAAAGAAACCGUGGGAUGAAUCAAGAUGAAUCACCCAGUGAUGGAGGUAAUUUCCCCUGUCAGCUGAACAAUGAAUCAGUUGCUAUUUUUCUCAUGGUAAAGAUGCCAUUUUGUAUGUGGUACUAAAUAAUGUUCCCUGCUAAAACCAUGAGGCUGAAUAAAGUGGUCAGUUUGUUACCAGCUUGCAGACUAACACACAGUAUGAAUUUCGGCAAUACAGCCUUCACUGUGAGCAAAUGGUGUCUAAUAAUUUGGAGGAGGAAGCCUGGCUCCAGGUCAGAAUACGUCUGAAAACACCGUCCUUUAGACAUGUAUGAACAAGCUGUUGCUUCAGAUGGAAGAACAGGCCCAUCACAAACCAAAUUUCCUAAAGUCUCUGUAGGUCCUGAAAGCAAACCCAGGACUCAGUUCUGCAAUAUGAGUCUGAUAGUAGGUGUUUUUAUCUGUCGGUGAUGCUGUAUAUUAAAAAAAAAAAAAGCAGAAUUAGGCAUUCCUUCAAAAAUAUUCAUAGACAUAGGAUGCUGCCUGUAUUUCUCUUAAUUGUAUUUGAAGUCCAUGUGUUGUAUAUUUAGUGCAUUAGCUGUGAUUCAACAUUAGUGGUGGGGAGAAAAGUUACUUCUUUUUGUCCCUCUCUCGAGAUAAGGAUGUAAAACCUGGUGAUGCUCUGGGCAGCUGGCUGCUUGUUUUCUGUCACUUCAAAUUAGCAGGCUGUGAUAUGGCAGGAGGGGAAAUACCAAAGCAAUACAGAGAAGUUGUGCUCUUGGGAUUGUGGGGGAGCAGGAGGAUAACCCUGGAGUUAAGCCAGGGAAUGGAGCAUCAGAGUGGGCUCGGGAGCACUCAGCCCAGCAGAAUAACCCCUGGAUCUCUUAUAGCCAUGCAUAAAUUUUCUGUGUUGCUGCUUUGCCACCUGUGAAAUAGCAGCCUCCUGUGCUUCAUGAGAGCUCUCCUGGCUGGGAGGUGCUGGCACAGCAAUGCUAGUGGGCUUCAGUGGCUCCUUGCUUAGAAGAAGGAGGAAAAUUGAGGAGGAGGAGGAGAUGGGGUGAGUCCCAAGGAUGUUUGCAUAAAGGGUCCGACCAGUUCCAUCUGUGUUACACAACCCUUCUUCUCUGGGUACAAAAUAGCUACCUUUGCUUGUGACUUGACCCAUUUGGGAAAUGUCCUCACCUCCUAGGUUUAAGGCUGAAAGAUCUGCAACACAGGAGCUUGUGCCCUUUAUUCAUUAUGUCACUUCCAGCAUUAGCUAAAUAAAGAAAAUCCUUGCUUCACUUAAAUUUAAAAUGACACCAAAUCAUGAUGCAAACUUGCAGUGGCAUUUAUCCUGUUAGCUGAUAUUUGCUAUAGGUGGAAGGGACUCAUAAACACAGUUGUCUUCAUGUCUCAGGCACAUUUCUCGGUGUUCCUUGACAGUUAUUAAGUGCAUUAAUUCUUCUGAUGCUAAUUUCUCUGUGUACUGAUGAAAAAUGCAUUUUUCCCAGGGAGUUGGCACUUGGCAAAUAUCUCGAUGGCAAUAAAUUAAAGUACGAACUAAGUUUCUGUUGCCAUGGUUUCUUCUCUGCUGAUACAAACAGUUACAGUAUCUUCAAUCCUGCAAGGGCAGAGAAGCAAAACCACAGCCCAAAACAUCUCAAUGCACGAAAUACUCUUCUCUCCUGGAUCUCUCUUGCAGUUUACCCUGCCGGUGCUCUCGCUCCUUGCAAGUCCGUGUACAAACAAAUUAUUCUUAUGCAGUCUCACUACUUGUCCAGACCCAGGAGGGCUCCAGGCCCCUAAGAUGUGAGAAGAAGAAAAUGGAUGUUGCUGAGGAGCGUGCCCACGCAUUGGAGCGCUUCCCUGAGCCUUUCGCAUGCUGUCACCCUGCUGCAAGGCAAACCUUGCCAACACUGCUUCCCUCUCCUGUAACCCACUGGGUGAUGAGACUAAAAGCAAAGUAGUUUAACUCAAAAAAUAAAGGGAGUAGGUUCGGUGUUUGGUGCCCUCAUGUUAUUUAAGUUUCCUGAGGCUUCCCAGUGCACAGAAAAUUCAGUGGAUCGACAGAGCUGUGCCCGGCUGUGGAGGUGUAGCUAAUGGGCCGCUUUCUGCAGCAACACCUUGCUGUUUCCCAAGUGGAGAUGACGCAGGGUGGUAAACUAGUGCUGCUGUUCCCAAAAGAAUAAGGAGAAGCCAUGGAGAUAGCAGUGGUCAGAAUAUGUCCUUAGACUCUGGAUGAAAGUAAAAUAUUGAUUUGACAGGACCUUCUGCUGCACCUGCAGUACUUCAGCUGUAGCAUCAUGCCAGUCCCAUAUGCCAGGAGAGCACUUCUCCAGCUGUACUGGAUGAGUAACUCUGGCUGGAGGAAAUGUAAGUCCUCAGGACCGCUGCUAUCUUCCAUCAAGCACUGAUGCUGCUAGCAGCUAAAUUCAGACAAGAUCAUGGACAGCAUAUGGAAGCAUCCUAACCAAAUCUUGCCAUUUAAAGCAAUAAUGGCAGCUGUCUCGAUCCAAGUUAGGCAAGAUCCUUAAGAUUGUCUACUGGCUCAUACAGCUGUGCAGGUUCCUCUAAUAUGUCUUUUCUCUCUCAUCUGAGCUCUACCUGCUACUGACCAGAACAGGUGGCCAUCACAUGGGCACCACUAUUUCACUGUUGACCUCUUGUCUUUGAAGGGAGCACAUAGAACACUCUGAGAAAUCAGUAUGUGCAUAAAUUUUACUGAGAAUGUUGUUAUUGAUGCAAAAUCACUCACCCAAGAAAAAACAGAACAAAUGCAGCUUCACAGAAUCUUGUUGCUUUCAGAAAAAAAAUUAUAAUGGAAAUGCACUGCAUGGCUGACCAGGUCUGUGCCGAGUUUCUCUCUUUGAUGGACUGGAAAUAGGUCUCUAGUCUACAGCUGGAGACAGGUUCUUUCUCCAUUAAAAAACAAAACAAAACAAAAAAAAGACUGCAAAUAAGCUGGGUAUUUUCUUUCUUUCAACUUGUGAUGGUAUCUUUGCUGCUGUAUAGAACCACAGUUCUGUCUAGUUUUCCUUCAAAGCUGUCUUAUUUUCUUAUUUUGUUGGUUUUAUUAAGGGAGUCUUUUUAGCUAUUUUUGUUUAAAAUUAUAAACCUAGACAAGAACUUCCAGUGAUAUUUUUAGCCCAUUUAAAUAUUGCU